GACGAACGCUGGCGGCGUGCUUAACACAUGCAAGUCGAACGGAAAGGCCUGCUUUCCCUUGUGGAUUGCGGGUACUCGAGUGGCGAACGGGUGAGUAACACGUGAGUGAUCUGCCCCCAACUUGGGUAUAAGCCUGGGAAACUGGGUCUAAUUCCCGAUAGGACUGCAGGGUGGUGCCUGUGGUGGAAAACGAUUUUCUAGUGGUUGGGGGUGAGCUCGCGGCCUAUCAGCUGGUUGGGGGGGUAUUGGCCUACCAAGCCGGCGACGGGUAGCCGGCCUGGGAGGGUGGACGGCCACAUUGGGACUGAGAUACGGCCCAGACUCCUACGGGAGGCGGCAGUGGGGAAUAUUGCACAAUGGGCGGAAGCCUGAUGCAGCGACGCCGCGUGGGGGAUGACGGCCUUCGGGUGGUAAACUCCUUUCGACCGCGAGGAAGCCACCUGGUUGGAAGGGUGGUGACGGUAGUGGUAGAAGAAGCACCGGCUAACCACGUG
rnacentral:rRNA from 1 species